rnacentral:lncRNA from 1 species
AUAAAAAAACUAACUUGUAAAACAACAAACAUUUUAGUAAUAAAAAAACAAACUUGUAAAACAACAAACAUUUUAGUAAUAAUUUAAUCACGGUUCUUAAUCCGCUGCGGAAUAUCCCUUUCUAGAGCCUUUAUUUGAUUGUUGAACUAAUUUAAUGAUGAUUAAAAAAAGUUAAAUUAGGAGAGAGAGAAACCAACACGAGCCUGGCUUACUUUCAACGAGAAGUGCACAUGUGUCCUGAGGAGAGAGAGAGAGAGAAACCAUCCAAAUGCAUCCAAUUAGGAGCUGGCUAAGCUGGAUCCGUAAGUUACAGAUUCUGUAACUUAAGCCAGCUCCAUAAGAAAAAAACAACACGAGCCUGGCUUACUUUCCUGCAUGGAAAUUGAAUCGAGCCAACCAAGCCAGCAGCAGUCCCGAAGAUUCCGAAUCUCAAGAUACCCGUUAAUAUCUUUUUAAUAAAUGUUUAACAGACGGAAGAAAUUGUAGAAGCACCGUUUACACAUAUGAUACAACUAUAAAUUCUUGUAUAAAUUUAUUUUGUACAAAUUGAUAUGGCAUGAUAAGAUUAGUUAAAUUAAAUAUCACUUGACCCACAUAAUUUGUUUUUAUUAAUUUAUAUUUUUAUUCAACCAAUAAAUUAAUGUCACGUCAGUUUGUACAAAAUAAAUUUAUACAAGAGUUUGUGGCUGUAUCAUUACUCUUUAUAAUAUGUGUAAACGGUGGUCCAAAAUUCGUAACGAGACACGUGUCACGCGAGGUCCAUCUAUGGUUUUCUGGAUACCGCACCCCAUUGGGCAUUGUCAGUUAAUAAAAUGAAAUUAGUGAAAAUAAUAAUCACGUCACUCAUAUUCACCAAAAAAUAAAUUGAUAUCUAAAUAAAAUAAAAUUCCAAAAUAUGUAACGUUCGAAAAGUGCUUAACUUCAAAUAUUUGAAGUAUGCAUAACAAAAUAGGUUACACACGUUUUUGCGUAAUUAUCAAAGAUUGUAUUAUGAUUUUGAAAGAGAAGGUUUAUAAUACAGUCGUAAGCAUCACAAUAUGAUAAUGGAGUCAAAUAAUUUUUAGAGAAAAAGAGUUAUGAUUAUAAAUUAGUCACUGUCAGAUUUUAUAGUACGAUCACAGUCUCGUGUUAUCGCAACAAAAUUAUAGCUUGACCCGUAAUCUGUAACUGUAGAAAGCCAAUCUUUUCUUUACCCCUCUCAUCGUCAUUUGAUCUCCCAGCAUCAGCAAAACCCUCAUUUAAAAAAAAAGAAAAUCACCAUUGGGUCCAUUUUUGGACAAAAUAUUCUAUCAUUUUUCGCCCCUCUCAGCACAAAAGUUCUAUCUUUUUUACUGGGUUUGCAAAAUCGUACGGCCUUUUUAAAUAUUUUUCAGCACAUAGUUCUAUAUACGGUGCUUCUGCGUGUUCUCUUCAACGAAUUAGUUUUAUAUUCACGAUUAAACGAAAUAGGUGGCCUUUUUUACUAUUCUUGCAAGUAAUUAACCAGGGAGGAGUUGUUUUUUUUUUAAAAAAAAAAAAAUUUGUUUCACGUUUUAUUAGUCUUUUGGUUUCAUAUUUUGAAGUACUUUUAAUAGUAAACGUUAUGUGAAGGUUUGCAUAAUCUUUGUUGAUUUUUGCGUUCGUUCAGUGAUUAAAUUUGCUAAUAUUUUUUUCCCCUCCACCUACCAUUCUCUGCGUGUGAUUGACUAGUGGGUCUGUUUUCUUUGGUUUUAUUGGUGUAAAUAUAUCUUAAUUUUAGCAUUUUACAGUUGAUAAUUUAUAAAUUGUUUUGGACUUUGGUGGCAUUUAGCCACUCUGUUUCGACCCCAGAAUCUUGAUUCUGGGAGCUUUUGUUUGGGGUGUUUGUACUUGUGGGUUUCUGACUUUUUGAUGAAGGGUUCUGGAGCUCUUUGGUGAAUGUUAAUAUUCGGGGGUUUUUGUUGAAGGGUUUUAGGGAUAGUUUGAUUUGGAGUCUUUGGGAAAAUGGGGAAUUGUUUGCUGGUGGGUUUACUUGUUGCUGUUGUUGUCUCUCAUUUUGAGUUUUUGAAUUUUGGUGAUUCUGUUGUUAUAAGGUUUUUGAGUUGUUGGUCUGGUUAGCUGCAAUUGCUGUUCAAUUCAGAAAUUUGAGCAGUGAGAACUUAGAUUAGGUUGAGUUGUAGUGGCGAUUUUAGUGGUGAUUUUUUUUGUUAAAGCUACGCAUUUGAUAUAAUGAGGAGUAAUGGGUUUGAUCAUCCACUAAAAGAUGUAGACAAGGAGGAAGGUGUUAGAGGGAGCAAGACACUGAACAAGGACUUGGGGCAGACUGAUGGUAUUGGUGAACCAAUGAACAAGGAAUAUAUGUCUUCAGAAAAAGAAUACAAUGCACGCGCUUUUCAGAGUUUAGAAAAACAGAAGACAAAUUCAUUGGAGCAGUCACCAGUUGUGGGGAUUUCUCUGUCUAAAAAGGAGGAUGUUCAUUCUUCACCUCGAGCAAGUUAGUAUCAGAAAAAAAUCUUGUUUGUAUUUAUGCAUUUAGAGCUUAUAAUUGACAUUGUUAAAUCUUCUAGGUGAAACUUUUACAGUGGUUAAUUUCAUUGGAUGCUCAUUGCCAACAAUUUAAUUUAUUACUGAAUUAUAGAACUUUAGAGUGUAAUCUGGGCUGCGCAUCUUGAUUCUGUAGUUUUGUGAUACGCAGCUGAACAAUUACUUAGUUGUUUAUUCGCAUCUUUUGGUAGAGAGUAUAAGUUUAUGAAACAAUACUUUGUUUUUUGAGUAUAAAAACUUAAUGGCCAAACUUCAGAACUAGAUAAAUGAUGAAUGUUAUCACUUUCUUCAUCUACAACCUUUAUUAAGAUGUUUACUGACGCCAUAUUAUCGGCUGUUUGAAGGUUUGGAUCAUUGCAUUACUGCACCUAUUACACGUAGAGAUUCACUUACUGAUAUGAAUGAGUUCAGAUACUCAAGGUCCAUGACAGAGAAGAAGUCGAUUCCGAGGCAUGACCUGAAAUUGGAUAGACUGUCAGAGCGUGAAAAGGUAUAUAACAAAAAUCUCAUGCAUGUGACGAGUUUUUCUGCUCCUGCCUACUCAAGAGCAUGAAAAGGUAGAUAACAGAUUCACUCGCACAUGACUGCAAGUUUAAAUGCUAUUGCUUGCUUGUAUAUGUUCAAGUUUAUCAUGAUGCAACAGUUGCCAAUGUGUUUCCUAGAUGUUGCAAUACAUAUCUGGCUUAUUUCUCUAACUGCAUACAUAGCACACUGAAUGCGCUUCCCCCUGAUUUCUUUUGAGGGAAAAUAAUAGCUCUUAUAUUUGAUCAUCCUAUGUCAAUUUAAUCCCUAAUGUUGAGAAAGAAUAUUGAAAGUAUUGUUUUAUGGACAUCAUUAUUUUGUAAUUUAACAAUUGUGGAACUUGUUGUCUGGUUCUUUCUCUUGUAAUGAAGUGGUUAACUAGUUCUUUCACAUUUUGGGACAAUCUGUUAUGGUUUUUGGUUAAACAAUCAUUCUUUUACGUUCUCGAUUAUGGAAGGCGUAACGAAUGCUUGUCUUUUUUUAUCUUGCCCUCAAUGUGUCUGUAUUUGUUUCCAAAAUUAUCUUUCUUCUAUGAUACUUGAUUUCUACAAAUCUUUUCCCCUCAGAAAAAGCUGAUUGUGGAACUAGUCAGGAUUCAAAAUGACGGGACUGUAGAAGUGGAUUUAGAUAAAAGUGCACCUGUAGCUUCAGAGUUUUUGGAAUUUCAACCUGUCGAAGGGCCACCUAUCAUUUUGGAUGACACCAGUUUUUCUGAUUCCAAGAAAUCGAUCCCAAGAUUGAAUAUUGCCAUACUUGUGGUUGGAACAAGAGGAGAUGUACAGCCAUUUCUGGCUAUGGCCAAGAAACUUCAGGCAUGCUUGACAUGAUUCAUUUUUCUUCCAGUUCAUGUUUGUUAAUAUUUGUGCUGUCACCACAAGUUUUUAUUUUCAAUGUAAUCUUAUUGCAUUAUGUAAGAGGUUAGGAUCAGCUUCUUUUGAGAUUUUAUUCUAUGCAUAAACCCUUUUGAAGGUUUCAUAUCGAGGCUUCUACAUGAUUUGAAUUAUUGAUCACUGUGUGUGAGUUAUGUCUACAUAUAUGUGGUUCCAAUGACGUUGUAUCUUAAUUGAUCUUCCAGCAUUUAAUUUGUGGUAGAAAAGCCUAGAUAAUUACAUAUUUUCUGUAAUAGUAAUCUAAUUAUUUGUAGUAAAAAAAUGUGUUUGGCCUUUUUCUGCAGGAGUUUGGUCAUCGUGUUAGGUUGGCAACCCAUGCUAACUUCAGGACUUUUGUAAGGUCAGCCGGGGUAGACUUCUUUCCUUUGGGCGGUGAUCCUCGGGUUUUGGCAGGAUGUAAGAGGACCCUUACUUGAAAUUUUUUGUUUUAAUCUUUAACUGCAAUAUACUUUCUUUUUUUUUCGGUGGUUAUUUUGUUAUAGGAUCCAUGAUUUAUUGUUCUUUGUUAGGUAACUCCUUUGUGUUCUUUUCUUUUAGAUAUGGCACGGAAUAAAGGUCUGAUCCCUUCUGGACCGGGAGAAAUAUCGAUACAAAGAAAGCAGAUAAAGGCCAUUAUAGAAUCUCUUCUUCCAGCAUGCACAGAUCCGGAUAUAGAAACUGGUGUACCUUUUAGAUCUCAGGCAAUUAUUGCAAAUCCUCCUGCUUAUGGUGAGUCCAUGGGAAUGGAAUGCUGUAUUUUGCCUUAGUUGUAUAGUUAAAUGUUUACAAGAAAAUUUGUAAUUGUAUUUAUACAUAAGAAAUUUAAGUCCAUCCAUGGGGCAGUUGAACAUGAAUUUUACAUGAGGUCUACUUAAGCUGGAAGUUUGGGCAUGUAUGUUUCUCUAAUCCAUCUGAGUCCACUUUGAUAAUUGAGUCCUUGCUCAUCCCUCAUUGGUGCACAUAAUUUUGGAUCUUGAUGACAGUUGCUCAAGUGCAAAUAUUUGAUAGAAUAUUUAUUUUAAGACCUUUAAUUUGCUAUUUAAGCGUGAAUGGAAUUGAAAACAGGAAAAAGAACUGAUUCUAUAUCCAUAUGUUUUUUCAUGGUGAGGUAUCUCUUUAACCGAGCAUGAAAAUGAUAUUUGCUUGUUUCUGAGAGGGAACAAUUAUGCAAUAAGGAUAUGGAGCCAAAAGAGGAAGAACAAUUAUGAAGAUGAGGGCUGCAAAUGAAAUGCAUCUUAAAAUCAUUAGAUAAUCCCCAGUUGUUGACUAGUUAAUAAAUUACUUUCAGUUGUCUUUAUGCAGCUCGAAGUCAUAUAUGAUUUCAUCAGAAUUUUGUCAUUCAUGAUAACAUUUAUGAACUUACACUGCAAUUUUGAUUUUUCAUCUCAUUGAUCUCAUUCUAUUUUAAUUAUUGAUAUAUUUUUUUGAAUGGUGUAACAUUAAAUUUUGACAUCUUCUUUGGAUUGCAGGGCAUGCCCAUGUUGCUGAAGCUCUUGGUGUACCCAUUCACAUUUUCUUUACGAUGCCAUGGACGUGAGUUUUGACUAUCCUUGCACGUCAAUAUGUGUUUUAUAUUGCUUUUGUAACCCUAGUAUGAGGCCAUAAAUGUCGAACAUUUUUAAACUUGAAUACAAUUUCAUUGAUAAAAUAAUAGAACUCAAAAUACUAUUGUUGUUCCCUGACCUAUUAGCUUAAGUUUUUGGGUUGAUUGCUUUUUCAAUCAGUUUUUGUGUUGGCCUGUUAUAGCUUAAAAUGUACCAUUGUGAUUUUAUCUGUUAACAUAAGCUUUUGAGUAUGAUGAUAACUUAAUAAGUACACUUGAAAAACAAUGAAAUAGUUUAAUUCUUUCCAGUGUUAAACUCUGUGACAUUGUCUGAUACUGUUUUUACUAGGUUGAAAUUAUUCAAGCAUAACAUCACUUCUUUCCUUGAAUUAUAUUUGGAGAGUGUAUUUGCAAAUUUUUCCUUUCAAGUAACUUAAAUUGGUCUUCCAUGUCAAGAACAAUGAAUUGGGUACAUGUCACAUGUGGUACCUUGACUGAAAAGAAUUCAAACUCUUGGGGAAAGGAGGAUUUGCUGAAAAAUAUGGCACGCAUAAAUCCUUUGUGCAAACAUGAUUACAAAAACGUUGACAUUGUUAAAGAACAGGGUUGCUGCAUUCUGGAUUGUCAUUUUCUGACUGCCAUGAAACUAAAAAUGCAGCAGGGCAAUUUUAAAUGGUAAAAUGGGGAGAUAUAGAACAAGAGCUAGUAUGAAUCCAAAUACGCAUGAGAUAAGUCAUGGACAACUGCAUGUUAUUGUCAAAAGCUGGUUAAUAUCAAGUAAAACUUUGUUUGAGACUUCCUACUUACUUCUAUUCUCAAUAGACAGGCCAACUUAUGAAUUUCCUCAUCCGCUGGCACGUGUACCCCAAAGUGCUGGAUAUUGGGUAUGUUCUUGACUGUGGCCAGUCCACCUUUUUUGCUCUCGCCUUUUUCAAUGUUGGUUUUUCCACUUUGUUGGUCAUGCCUGCUUACUUGCAUUGACAAAUCUGCCUUUACUGUCUCAUACUUGCUGAAUCCAGCUUUCUUAUAUAAUUGUGGAUUUGCUGAUAUGGUGGGGCAUUAGGAGCUAUAUUAAUGACUUCAGGAAAAGGAAGUUGAAGCUUCCCCCUAUUGCAUACUUCAGUACAUACCACGGAUCUAUAUCUCAUUUGCCAACAGCCUAUAUGUGGAGUCCCCAUCUUGUGCCAAAGCCAAGUGGUGGGUUUAUUACUGACAAUGGAAAUAUUUGCUCUUUCUAUAGGAUUGACUUCGUUCGCCUAUUGCAGAUUGGGGCUCUUUAGUUGAUGUUGUUGGAUAUUGCUUAUUAAACCUUGGGUCGAAGUAUCAACCACAAGAAAACUUUGUUCAGUGGAUUCAAAGAGGACCCGAACCUAUUUAUAUAGGGUUUGGUAGCAUGGUAUGUGAUCUCACUAAAGCUUAUUGAAAUGAUUUAUAGUUCAAAUUUUCUUUGUUAUGUUUUCUUAUAGUUCCUUGUCAUUGUUGGAGGCCAUCAGGCCAAUAAACUGCAUUUUGAUGAUUUAGUGGGAGGGUUCCACAUUCCAGUCAGAGUAAUUUGACACUAUAGACCUUUUUAUGAGAAGGAAAUAAUGAAAAUUGGAACCUUCUCUGUUCUUCUGAAUUUUGAACUCUUUUGCCAGUGAAGAUUGCUGCAAAAUUCUUAGACACUACACAAAAACAGAAGUCAAGAACACUAGUCUUGGAAAUUCAUCAGAAUCAUAAAGGAGUAAUUCUGAUUCCCCUUUUUGGGCCUCCGACCCCCUGUUAAAAUAAUUUCUAAUUUUCCCAUUGCUGAUGGUGUCCUAUGUUUUCUUUAAUAAUACUCUACAUGUAAUUGACUUUUGUGCAAAUACUUUAGCAAUAUUAUUGGAUUUUUAUUUUUUUUCCUUUCCCCCUGUUUCUUUUCGUGAAUGUUAGUAUUGAGAAUGCAAUUGUUACUUGUUAAGCCUCUUGAAGAUCCCAAGAAAACAACAGAGAUUAUAUUGGAGGCACUGCAGGAUACCGGACAAAGAGGAGUUAUUGAUCGAGGUUGGGGAGAUCUUGGAAAGAGUAUGUUGUUUCCUUUAUGUUUGCUGCUUUCUGGUUAGCUGGUUGAUGCUCAAAGAUUUUGCCGCAUGGCUAGGGAAUAAGUUACAAAUUAUAGUUUCUGGGUUGAUGUUUACCAAAUUUUGCUUCAUGCCUACCAGUGUACUAUAGAUGUCAUAAAGGCUGCAAUUGCACUUAAAUAAGGAACAUUAACUGAAGAUUUUUUCAUUAUGAUUUAUCUUUUUAUUUUAGAAGCAUUUACCUUGGUUGAUUGGUGCUUUUCAUCAACUCAGGCGAUACUUCUAUCUUGCAAUUGAUUACAUUUUAGGAAAUCAUUCAUUUUCAAACUAUUUGGAUCAAAUAUUCAGCGGCAAGGAUCAAAUUACAAAUAUUUGGAAAUCAUGAAUUUAUUACCAAGUUUUUCCAUGUAUAUUUCCUAAUUUUCCAAAUUUAUUUUUGGCCAUUAGUGUGCUAAAUGAUCAUUCUGAAAAUAAUAAUUUUAGGUUUUUCUAAUUUUCAAAUAUUAUUAUAACGGGUUCUUUGUGUUGUAUGAUGUGUUUGAUUUGUGUGUUUUCCAAUAAAUAAAUAGUGUAGGUGUCUAUUGCUAGUUUUGAAUAUUUUCACCAAUGAGUUAUGCAUUUCCCAACUUUUGCUUCUUAAUGCUUGUACUGUCAAAUGAUGAUAUUCUCAAGGGCCAGCUCCCAGAAAUAUUGAAACUUUGUAAAGUAUCUCAUAUAUGUAUUUAAAAUGACAUUAUUAUUAUUUUUUCCUAUUUACAAGAAAUAGACCUGUGGAACAUCUCUGACAAAUCAUUUUGCAUUCUACAGUUACAGAAGUUCCUGAUAAUAUAUUCCUUCUAGAGGAUUGCCCUCAUGAUUGGUUGUUUCCUCAAUGCUCUGCUGUGGUGAGUUUUCUUUUAUCCUUCCUAAAGUGAAUUUCUUUAUGUGGAUAUAUGUGGUUAUCGCUACUUCAGUGUGUAGCAUAAUUAAGGAAUGUAUGUUCAGAAAACAUAGCUGAUUGCAGCACCCAAAUUAGAGGUAAGAGGAAGAAUUUUGUGGUAGUGAAUAGAGAUGUGUUCUUAGUUUUGAAUAUGGGUGGACUUAUAACCAUCUAAUAUUGACUAAAUAACAUAAGAAUUUUAUGGCAGAUUAUAAAGAUUUUAAAUAAAAAAUUAUACCUCUAAAGAUAAAACCAAAAAAUGCUUCAUGUUGCUGUUGAAAAUUAGUUGUUGAAUAUGACAAACUUGAAAGAUAAAAUGAAUAUCAAGUUGUAAAGUUGUUUAUUUUUUUCCUCUACCGCACUAAUAAAAAACUUCUAAGAGCGUAAAACUUAUCAAGCUAUUUGGUAUGAGUUACAAGGCUCCAAUCUUUGCAAAAGGCACAAACUAUAUAUAUAUGCUGGAGUGAGACUAGAAAAAACAGUGUGUAAGGCAUGCCUCGCUCUGAUCCUCCAUGCCUUACUUCGCCAUGGAUGAUGUGAAAUUUUUAAUAGUGCAUUCUUCUUUGAGUGUGAUGCAAUUAUGUUUGUGAAAACUCAAUUAACUUGAAGCCUUAUGCCCUGGAUGUGCAGGUUCAUCAUGGAGGAGCUGGAACUACAGCUACAGGGCUAAAAGCUGGGGUAAUAUUCUGUAUUUUUUUUUCAUUAUUCUUCUGUACUGCAUUCUGAAAUAGAUCUUUUCAGAUGAGUCCAUAUAGUUAGAUCUUACGUUACGAAAGACACUUGGUCAUAUGUCUGACUGUUUGUAAUAGAAAUUAUUCAACUGGCUGAUCUUGUCUAACAUCAAAUUUAUUAAUUAGUGUCCAACAACCGUUGUUCCUUUCUUCGGAGACCAGUUCUUUUGGGGCGACAGAGUGCAGCAGAAAGGGCUGGGACCUGCACCAAUACCAAUAUCUCAGCUUACUGUUGAAAACCUUUCAAAUGCUGUAAGAUUUAUGCUGCAGCCAGAGGUAAUUUUGGAGUUGGCAUUCCUUUUUCAGAAUCUGAAAAGUGACACCCACCAGAGACUUCAGAGAUUUUGGUUCUUAACUGGACUUUGGCUCUCUCAGGUGAAAUCCCGAGCAAUGGAGUUAGCGAAGUCGAUAGAGAACGAAGAUGGUGUUGCCGCUGCAGUUGAUGCAUUUCAUCGGCAUUUACCUGAUGAGAUACCAAUGCCUUCUGCGUUACCAGAAAAAGACGACGGGCCUGACCCUUUGCAGUGGUUUUUCAUUCAAAUUGGAAAUUGGUGCUGUCAGCGUUGUGGUGGUGUGUAAACUUCAUAGGUCAACCUAGUGUUUUAUAGGUACUGUUUUCCCUUUCCAAUUUUCUUUCUUUAUAUUUGUUCGUAUCAUUUUAGUUGAGCAAUCCAUUCUUUCAUUUGUGGCUUUUAUGUACCUGUUUGAUUGAUAGGAAUAGAAAAAGAAACAUACUGGUGUAGAUUUCUCAUUACAUUUGCGGUAGUAUCAUUUUUCUUGCAGUAGUAUCAUGUUUCUCCUGCCUGUGUAUAAUGACAGAUCAUUUUAUUAUAAGUAUUAUCGACUUAUUAUAAGUAUUAUCGACUUAAGCUUGAUUAUCAAAUCUAUUUAUGUGCUGUCUAGCUUAUUUUGUUCUGAUUGAACAAAAUAUCAUGCCCAUAAAUGUGCGCAGGAUUCGAAUCUCACAAUUCCUACUUAUAACCAAAUAAUUAUCCAGUUUAAUGAUAAGGAUAUUAUCCUAUAACUACGUUUUUUUUUUUUUUUUUUUUUAUGUAUAAUUUUGUCACCAAAGUUUUCUGGCAAUUGCCUUUUUCCAUUUCAUGUUUCAGUUUUUAUCUGUUUAUCAUCAAACCAUUAACUCCAUUAAGAAAUUGCUUCUAAUAGGGGUAUUUUAGAAAUUGUAAUAUUUUUAGUAUUUUAAUAGUUUUAUGGUGUACAAUAUUUGUAAUUUUAUCAAUUGAUUAUUUUAUAUAUAUAAAAUAAUCAAUUGACAAAAACAUUAUCUCUUUGUAUAUAAUUAAUUUUAUAUUUUUUUAUUAUUCGAGGAUUAAAUUGUACUUACACAAUUUAGGAGUAAAAUAGUAAAAUAGACUUUUACUACAACUACUACUAAAAUUAUGUUAUUUUUAACAAUUUGGUAGAAAAAUGAUAAAAAUUAAAACAAAAAGUGGGAAAAAUACAGUUGUCGUAAAAUUUUGGUGAGAAAGUGAAAUGUUAGAAAAUAUUUAAGUGGUAAAAUAAUAGUAUUGAUGUUAAUAGAAACAAUUAAAAAUAAAAAAUAAAACGAGCAUGAAAUUCAAUCAUACAGCAAUGUAUCUAUAGUAUAUUAGACAGCAACUAUACGAGUGUACAUAGUAGAAAGUUCCUCAUAUAAUAUAAUGUGUACGGCUAACUUGCUACUAAAAUAGCAAGAUUUACACCCAUCAGUGAUUAUUUCUUGUAAAGUUUGAUAUCUCUCCAUCUUGAGUCCAUGUAAUUGCUCGAGCCUGCAGGAGCAGCAUAAACACCGCAUUUGAAAUACAAGUCUCCGGGUCCCUGAUCAUUCACCACAAACUUCUGUUCGCCGUCGAUGAAAACUGUGAUCUUCCCUUUUCCCACAUCAUGAAUGACAUUGAGUCUGAACCAUUUAUCGUACAGAUCUGUCGCCACUACGUUGAAUUUAUAGUAUUUCAUAUCUCCAUUAUAAAUUCUAAGUUGCAGGGUUGUGGCUCCCUCGGAUGCUCCAUGAAUCUGCAUAAUUGUUACGCCGGAUGUGCCUUUUGGGACAUAAGCAUAGCCCUCAAAUUGCCAAAUUCCGGAUGAGUAAUCAUGCCCCUGAAAUAGAGUCAAAAUACUUGAGAAACGCCCUGAAAAAUUCAGCUUAUGCCUUGAGGUACAAAUUAACGUGAACCUUUUACCUUUAUGCGCACUUCAGUACGCGGUCUGGUGCCGCUGCUAGACUUGAAGGGCUUGUCGUGGUUGUAAACCCAAAAACUUCGUACCCCAUCUUUGUCACUGUAACGAGUUCCCAGGGGUUCGUUGUAAGGUUUCUGUAAGAUGAAAUUUUCCUCGGCUAACGCCACUUCAGUGAAUCCAUCAGUAGGAUCAGCGCCAAAAAUUUGAUGGCAUUUCAUAGAGCAUAUAACAAGUAACAACAGGAAGCUGUAGUGGCAAGACUUACUCAUUUUCCCAAAUUCUUCUGGCAAGUACAGAACCUGUGAAGCUAAUUACCACCCCAGUAGUAUCUUGGAUGCAUUUUUAUAAUCAGAUUUUACAGGGGGUUUUUCGAGUCCAAACAAUAUUGAAAUCAGCUGGUUAAAUUUAUCUUCUUGUUGCGGGUAAAUAAAGUAAUAGGAAAACUUUUCGGCAAGUUUCUGACCAUUGACUGCUAUGAUUGUUUUUAUCAAAUCAAAGUGGGAAUUAUGUGCAAAGAAAAUUCAGCCAAUUAUUAUGACAAUUGAUAGCGAGUCUUAGGAAUACAACAUUGUUGUCUCUGUAAAUUGUCAUAUAGCAUCACUUCACUAGUUUAUCCUACAGUAUCCACGUCAUUUAGAGGUUUUGCUUUGUCAGAUUGAAUUAGUUUGUAUUAUUUUGCUUAUCCUUUACGGUAUAGCUUCGCUCUGAGAAAAUCAAAAUCAUUUUCGAUUGUCACUCUUUGUACACACAUAACCGGAAUAAAUUUUUAUCUUGCAGUAAGAGUGAUCUAAAUUUUUAUCCAGAGGAGAACGAUUUUAUUAUAUACAUGUAUGUAUCCUAUUCUUCAGCUUCCAAUUUCCACAAGUAAACUGGGGACACCACAUUAUGUUUCCAUUUCAUCAAAUUCAUGUUAAUGUUAUCCAAUUCAUAUAUAAAAUCCCACAUAACAGAUUGCCUUUUUGACAUUUUUGACACCACCAUUAGAAAAGGCUAAGGUUCGUCAUCCUUUUUUUUUUUUAAUCAAUGCUUAUGCUCUUGAUUUUCUGCCCCCAUAAUUUAUGAAACUGCUAAACAAAUUUAGUGCAAGUUUGGGCAUCAAUGGAUUUUGCUUAAAACAUGGAAACCCUAUCAUACAGGCUUUUUGUUCUCUGCUUGUUUCCAUUUCAUUAUCACUUUUGCUCAUCAAACUGCCAUCACAUUUUUGUUUAUUUGCUUUCCAUAACUAACCUCAAUUUCUAAUUGGAGAAUGAUGCUGCUGCCAACUUUGUCUUUUGUAGCAUUGAGAAGCCUAAGGUUAUUUUGUUUGAUUACUUAAAACUUCUUAAUGUUGACAUUUCUGGCCCCAGUUUGAAUAUUUUGUCCAAAUUAUUGUCUCAACUCAAAUUUCGGAAGUAAUAUCAUUGAUAUUGGAUUGAUUCCUCAUCAGACUUGUGCAUUAUUUAUUCUCUUAACAUUUUCUGAAGGGGGUUCGUUGUGUUCCUUUGGAUGUCUUCUUGUUACUGUCAGGUAUAUGGAAUCUAAACUGGGGAAUAUAUUUGCAGUUUAAUUUCCUAAAUAUAUAUUGUAAAAUUUAUUCUAAAAGGGGAUCACACGCAGUGCUUUGCGGAAUUGAAAAUGAUUCAAUGAGUCCAGGACAUGCAAUUUUUCCAAGCUCAUUAACCUAAGAUUUUCCCAACUUAAUAACGCUUUCUGGGUGAAAGAUGCUUGUAAGGCAGGGGCACUUGUUACAUCCCCACAAGUGAAUGCGAAUCUUAAACAAUCUAUAAGUCUCUGAUAUCUCUACUCAGUUUCCCGGACUGGACGCCGGUCUAUUAAUUUCUUCAUAGUCACAGCUCCAACGUUACACAAUUUACACAACAGAGCACACAGCUAGCAUCAUAAAACCUCCGAAAUUUAUUUCUCAACCCAAGGUGAUAACAAUGAGCUACAUUAUUCUUAAGUUCAGGAUUCACACUUCUUAAAAAUUUUGAUGUCUCUCCACCUAGACUCCAUGUAAUAGCUUAUAUUAGCAGGAGCAGCAUAAACUCCACAUUUGAAAUGCAAGUCCCCUGGCCCUUUAUCCUUGGUUGCAAAUUUUUGAACACCAUCAAUAAAAACAGUUACCAUCCCACCAUCCACAUCAUGAAUGAUAUUAAGCCGAAACCACUUGUCGUACAGGUCAGUAGCCACCAGAUCAAAGCUGUAGUACCUCAUGUCGCCGUUAUAGAUCCUUAGGAUCAACGUAGUAGCCCCGUGAGCUGCGCCGUGAAUCUGAGCUAUUGUAGCACCAGAGGUUCCGUUUGGCACAAAACCAUACCCUUCAAAUUGCCACACUCCUGACGAAUAGUCCACGCCCUGCAGAAAUUCAAAAGAUUAAAGAACUUAACAGCAAAGUGUCACAUCUUUAAUCUUCUUUUAGAAACCCACAAACAUAUUUGAUAUUUUGCUGAAUUUAAUUAAGGUUACGCGUAUGCGGAUUUCUGUGCGCGGUUGGGUGAGGCUGUUGGGAUCAUGAGGCUUGUCAUCAGCAUAGACCCAUAAUUUGUGCACCCCAUUUUCAUAGCUGUAACGUUCUUCCAGUGGUACAUCAUAUGGUCGUUGCAGUUCCAAGUUUUCAGGUGUCAAUGCCACGGGGCUGAAGCCAUAUGUGGGAUCGGCAGAAGCAUAACACAGAAUGAUUUUGAACUUGUUCAGUAAAACCACAAGAAGAACAAAGGGAAGCAUGUAGCUUUUGGGCUCAACCAUUUUGGUCAGUCACUUUGCCUGGACUUGAGAUGCUCUGUGUGAAGCACUAGCCACCAGGCAAGUAAAUACAUAUAUAUAACUCAAGUAACCAAUUCUUCCAAUCAUGCCUUGCUAUGAAAUAAUAAAUGUUAUCUUAUCCACCUAAUGUGUCAAGGUGACAACACUCCUUGCUAAAUAAAAUUUUAGGAAAGACCCACAACUAUUUAUUUUUUUUCCUUUAGAAAAGUAGAAUAUUCAAUUUUCCUUAGCCGUAUUAAAUUUCUCGUCACGCUAUUGGGCCUUAUACACCUUGCGCCUGCCAUCUUCUUUCAUUGGGCCUGAGAUCCAAUAAUAUUGUUUUUAAUUGUUAAUUUUUUGAAUAAAUGAGUAGCAAAAAUAAAAACUAAUUAACUUUUAAAUGGGCUUUUAAUCUGCAAACACAAUCAACAGCUUAUUAAUUAACCUAUUCACAUAAUAAUUAAUAACUGGAUAGCUUUAUUACCAUUUCUACCAAUAAUAAAUUAAUAAUAAUAACAAACUUCAAUUAUGUACAGUUAGGAGACCAAAGUCUUCAGCUCUUGAGUUCACUACACUCCAGUGACAUUCCUUCGUCGGAGAUCAUGCGGUUGCCGGCGGCGAGGAGCGGCGGAGGUCUGGGCAUCGCCGCCAUGUCUUACAUCUUAAUAGACUACCUGCGCCACCUGUCUCCAGCGUGGCACGCGCGCUUGCAGCCGGUGCUCUGGACCGUACUGGCUCUGAUCGCCAUCACACGUGUCCCCUAUUACAGGCACUGGACCGCCGAGUUCCGGGCGGCAAUUCCAUUCGUGGGUUCAAUGAUUUUCAUGCUAUCUGCUCUUCUCUUCGAGGCUCUCUCCGUUCGCUUCGCUACUGCAGUGCUUGGCCUUGAUUGGCACAGGUAACUGUGCUGGACAUAAAGAUAUAAACCUUUUGUGGUUUGUUUGAUUCUGUUGGUCAGUUUUAUAUUUUUAUUCUUUUUGGAUCUAAUAAUGUUGCGAGGCAACCUCUACUGUAGAAUGGAAUUGAUGACCCAGGAACUUAUCAUUUUGUUUUUCCUUAAUCGUCUUUCAAAUUCCGUAUUUACUGGUGAACUUAGCUCAAAAGUACUGAUGACCAAGCAACUUAACAUUUUCUUAAUUGUCAAAUCAUUGUAGCUUUAAUGUCCCUGUAUUCAUCACAAACCGUAUGGAACAUUUAUGACUUUAAAUCUGGUGUUGAUUAAUGUGUAAUGUUCACAUGAAUUAUCUUCUGCAUCUCUAGGUUUUUCUACUUCCCUUGAGUUGAGAGACAAUACGUUUCAGUUUUUAGCUAUUUCAUCUUUGAGUAUCUUCAAUGCUUUAAAAACAGGAUUAUUGAUUGGCUUGGCAAUGUCCAACAGUGAUACAGAUCCUCUGCCUGAUACUGGUCAGUGGUUGCUCCUGGCAUUAAAUGAGAAACUUCCUGGAACAAUAGUCCAAAUAUUGAGAGCUCGUAUCAUUGGGCUACACCACUUUCUGAUGUUGUUUAUGAUGCUGGCUUUCUCUGUACUAUUUGACUCUGUAGAAGCUCCUGGCCUUGGGCUAGGUGCAAGGUAUAUGUUCACUAUGGCAGUCGGCCGACUCCUUCGGGCCAUAACAUUUGUAUCUACCAUUCUGCCGUCAGCCCGGCCUUGGUGCGCUUCGGCAAGGUUUAGAGUCCCCGCGUACCCUCAUUACUGGGCACAGAAAUAUUAUGUGCCUUAUGCUUCAGAUGCCAGUGCUAUUCGUCAGAUUAUAAAUCAGGAUAUGGCUUAUGGUAUGUGUUGCUUAUCAAAUUCAAUUUGCGUUGUCUCCUUGGCUAUCUGGAUUUAGUGUCUGAGUAUCUUCAUUUUUUGCUGGGAGUCUGGGACCCCAAUUGGAUGUGCUGCUGAGUGCUCUGUCAGCUUCUGUUUUGUGUUGAUACUCUUUUGUUUUCCAUUCGGCUCCUCUCCUUCAUUUCUUCCAACUGAACAUGGACUUAGGAUUUAGGUAAUGGAUGAUGUUCAAUGGCCCUAUACUGACCACUAUAAUUCAACUGAUAAAAGCAAAUUAUUCUGAUUAUCAAGUCAUGCAAUCAAGUGCUUGUGGCUCAUGCCAGAUGAAAUAGAUUCAAGAUUCCUAACUGUCUUUUCUAGAUAGACUAAACUUUACUGAUGAAAUAUGACAGUACCUAUCUUAUAUGAGGCAUUCGUUCUUCAAUAUGAUGUGCUAUCCUAAAUUCAUAUUAAGUUUGUCUCAAUGACUGGAAGGGUCCUGUUAACACCUCUAUUAUCUUUUUCAGCUGAUGUUGGUAAUUAUCCGAGUGACUAUCGACUGGAUUGGGGUUCUAUGAGUUUCUUAAUUGACUUCCUGCGACCGACUGCAUCAGAAGGAUCUUCAUGGUUCAGUCUGCUGAAGAAAGCUGGUGGUGGCUGCAAUGACCUUAUAUACAGUGGUCACAUGCUUGUUGCUGUACUGACAGCUAUGGCUUGGACGGUAUUCAUACAAAUCCAUUGUCAAGCAAUGAGAAUAAAUGACUAAUUACAUACUCUUAUCAGCCUUUGUUUCUUAAAAUGAUUGCAGGAGGCUUACGGAGGCUUUAGCUCGGCUCUCGUAUGGCUGCUUGUAAUGCACAGUGCCCAGAGAGAAGUUCGGGAACGCCACCACUACUCUGUGGACUGCAUUGUGGCAAUAUACGUAGGCAUCCUCCUCUGGAAGAUGACAGGUUUUAUCUGGCCACUCAAGGAUGCAUCCAAGAGUAAACGGCUCAACAAACUUGAUAAAAUCCAAAGUAGACUACUCCAAGCCGCUAAAGACUCGGACAUGGACAAGGUAACCGAGCUUCUCAAAGAAGUUGAGCUAGGCGGUCAAGAAACCCAAAACAAAGGCCCCAGCAAGGGCCUGUGGUUGUUUGCAUGCGCCAUAAUUUUCUUUGCACUCACCAUUGUUGUACUCGCCUUCACGUUGACGAGCGAUGGAUGAUUUUUUUUCCGAUCUGCACAUUGUUGUAUUUCUAUGUAGUGCAACAUUUUGUUAACGGGGAAAGGUUUUGAUUUUUAUGCUGCCAGAAAUGGUGUUGGGAGUAAUAAGACAAUUUUAGCAGACAAUUUUAGCGGCAUAACAAAUUAACAAUUAACACGUUGAUACAAAGGAUGACUUGUAGCUGUAUUAUGUGACCUUUAGGUAGCUCCUUGGCUUUUUUCUGUUGCUUGGGCUUUCUUAUUUGGAUGAUGAUUGGAUCCUUGAAAUUAUGUUUGAGUUGGACCAUUGGCACCUCUCUCAUCUCCUCAUAAAAUCUCUUUUUUAGUUAUAUUUAUUUUAUUUUUGAAAAUAUCCUUUUUUUUAGAUACACUUUUCUAAGUUCUUAAUUUUUAUUUGAUUUGUUUUAUUAUUAAAACUUAAAGUAUUAUUGUGCUAUUUUUUAUUUUCAAUUUCAUUAUUAAUCUACACACAAAUUAAAAAAUUAUAUGGGUGAUAAAUUUUUUAGUGUUAAUCAUUGGUUGAAAUAACACAUAUUUUAAAUUAUAAUUUCAAAGUAAUUUUAAGUAUAAAAAUAUUUAAUCAAUAAGAAAUCAAAAGAGAACAAUAUAUUAUUUUAAAUUUGUAUAAUUUAUUUUAGUUAAAUAGGAAGUAACACAUAUAUAUAUAUAUAUAUAUAUAUAUAUAUAUAUAUAUAUAUAUAUAUAUAUAUAUAUAUAUAUAUAUAUAUAUAUAUAUAUAUAUAUAUAUAUAUUGAAAAGAAUUAAUUAUGAAUUAAGUAAUUUGCUGGAAAAAAAUCUUUAUGUGUUUAAUUUUUAAUUGUCCUUAAUUGUAAUUUUAUUUAAAGUGGGGUUUUGUAAGAAAAAUGUAGGGGUGCCAAUAGCUCCACUCAUUAUGUUUUUAUUUAUUUUUCAAUAUUUAUUAUGAAUCCUUUUGUCAACUCCUUUUAUGACCAUUUUAUCAGUUUUGUAUAUAAACAUCUAAAUCAUGAAAAAUAGUCAUAGUUAUGUUUAAAGGAAAAAGUAAAAGAAAAAUUAGUUAAAAGAAAAAUUAAUUACAUUCACCAGAUGAAUUUCAAAAUAAAAAUGCCACGUGGGAUUAAAAUUCUCCAAAAAAAAAGGCUGAACACUCUUAAAGUCCCGUCACUAGCAAGGAAAAAAGAAAAAAAAAAGUUCAGAAGCAGAUAUUCUUCAGAGCUUAAACGAGAGUCUUUUGCAACCGUCCGAUAUAAACACAAAAGAAAAUUUCCAACCAUCCGACGAUUCACAAUACGCCGAUCUAGUGAAUUAUCCUACUAUCUGCCCAGCAAAUUCAUGCCGCGGUUAUCUAUCUUGCCUCCGCAUUGCACCUACCAAAUAAACAGAUUCUUUUUCCCCUCCAAACCUGUUGCUCUCUGUCGAUUACAUCCAAAAUACAGAGCUAAAAUAUUUAUUUUAGGAAAAAGUUUGAAAGUCAAUUGCAAUGGCGAUUUCUUUGACGGCGUCUACAAUUCCUUCAUUAAAUGCAAAAGUGUCCGCUAGCAGUUCAUCAAAACUCUCUCGGCUGUCUUCUCUGCAAUUCCCCGUGCAGUUGCGCCGCCUUCGAAUUUCUAACGGCUCGAGAACUUCAUCUUCCUCCAAACGUCGCUUGCUGCCAGUGGUAAUCUUUGAUUUUGCUUUGUUUUGAGUAGUUUUUAAUUAAUAUUUGUUUACGAGUUCCUUAAUUGAAAUAAUUACUUUCGGUAGGUUGAAGCGAAGAAGCAAACAUUUUCGUCACUUGAUGAUUUGCUGCAGAAAUCUGACAAGCCUGUGUUGGUUGACUUCUAUGCCACCUGGUAAUUUUCAUCCUUCGCUCAAGAAAAUUUUAACAUUGUAUAAUGAACAUCAAGUUGAUUACUUAUGCUAUAUUUUUUACUUAAUUUUAAUAACAAAGUAGCUAAAUUGUUUGGUGAGCAUUCUUUUUUAUGGCAGCUAAUGUUGAUUGCCUAGCCACUUGCCUAUACUUGUCAGCCAGUAAUUUCAUUCCACAGCUUCUGAUUUUGUUUUUGUCUUGUUUGUUAACAGUUACCAUCUAGUGUUUGCACUUCAAGUUUGUUAAAAGGUUUUAUAAAUUGAAACAUAGACAACUCGUGAUAUGGUUUGCAGGUGUGGUCCUUGCCAGUACAUGGCUCCUAUCCUCAAUGAAGUUGGUGCUGCUCUGAAAGAUAAGAUUCAGGUGGUCAAAAUCGAUACUGAGAAGUACCCUCAGAUCGCUGAUACAUACAGAAUAGAGGCCUUGCCAACUUUCAUUCUAUUUAAGGACGGGAAACCUUCUGAUCGCUUCGUAAGUCAAUUUAAUAUUGUUUUUUUUGUUUUCCUUGAAAAUUUAAUUUGUGCAUCUUUACAAAAUCAUUGUUUAUUCUCUGUGAAAAUGCAUUAAAGUGUCAAGUGACUACUAUGAAUAACCUGAAGAUCCUCUCUUUCCCAUGCCUGUAAAUUUUGGUGUUGAUAUUUGGAUUUGGAAAUUCUUUUCAAGCAUUGUCUUUCACUUUAUUGGAUUCCGUUAUAAUCGAUGUGUAGCUCUGAGGGUUAUCCAAUAUUCCAAAGUUUGUUGCUAGGCCUGGGAUAUUUCCUUUACACAGAUAGUAUCAUCAUCAAUAACUUAUGCAUUUUGUUGUUUGAGCCACUGGUGUAUUUUUGACUCAGUUGACUGGCAUCAGCAGUAUGCGCAUAUUGUCAUUGUAUGAUUCUUUUUUGCUUUUCAGUUACUUUUUCUGGUAGCUGUUGCCACAGGUUAGUUCUUUCAUAUGCCUGUGGACAUUAAGUUCAAUAACAAUCCUGAUGGUUGAUUGUUUUCAGGAGGGUGCUUUUUCUAAAGAUCAGCUUAUCCAACGCAUUGAGAAUUCAUUGAGCGUCAAGCAAUAGUUGUGGUGAGCUCUAGUUUUUAUUUAUUUCUACUUUUGAGUCUGCCCCAAUGAGUUUAUGUCCUCAAAGAGCCCUUUUAAUUGCCAUUCUCCUGUUGGCUCACUCUCUGCUAUUUUUGAUGUUUUGCAGUUUCUCAGGUUCUACCAGGAAACCAAUGUAAUCAAGUUGUUAGAUUGGAAUAUUGAAUUCAGUAAACAGGGAAUUCACAAGGAAAUUGUCUUUUCGUUUCUUUCCAUUUUUUAUUUUCGAAUCUCUUGUAUUUUUACCUAAAUUUUAUGACCUAUUUUUUUUAGGUUAUGCUGCUGAUUUUUUUACAAUAAAAAAUUUUGAUGACCUACUGUAUUGAAAUUUUGGUGUGAAUUCAUCAUGUUAAUGGUGCUGUCAUGGCAGUUUCUGUGUCUCUUUAGUUUGUUCAAUGAUCUUGGUCUGCAGUAUAGUGGAUGACUACUGACUAGUAAUAAGGGCUCACUCGACACAGUAAAGGGCAUAUAAGAUCCUCCAGAAUGACCAAUGCUUUUCAAGUUUCUUGACUCUAAAUAAUAUACAUUUUAAUUAAGGUUGUAGAUUUCAAGUAUAAUGCAUUGCGAUAUCAUCGCUUUAUCUAUAUUUUCCUUGAAGUUUUAAUAAUAUAGUUACAAAUUUUUAUAUAAAUUUAUUUUGUACAAAUUGAUAUGACAUAAUUAAAUUAAUUGAAUUAAAUAUUUCUUGAUUCAUUAUAUUUAUUUUUAUUAUUUUAAAUUUUUUUAAUUAAUAAAUUAAUAUCAAAUCAGUUUGUCCAAACUUAUUUUUACAAAAAUUGAUGAUUGUAUCUUAUAGACUCCUCAUAAUUUGCGGGGAAGGAAAUUGUAGGCUUUUGUUUUUGUUAUUGUGUUUUUUUUUUCCGGUUUUUAUGAAAAACAAUUGAGUGAAAAAGCUAUUAGCUAUCUAAUUAACUGGUGUUACUAAAACAACCCUGAUUGGUGUCAACGCUGAAUUAAUAAUAGCGGUGAGCAAGGGGGGUAGGGUCGUCUAUUAAAUGAGAUUAUACCAUAUACCGUCCAGGUGAGAAAUUGCCAAACCCCGAGGGAGGUAAGCGAUAUUACCUUUUCCUAUUCUACUUAUCGACUCCUUCUCUGGCAUAGGCUGAUCAGCAACGGGGAGAUGGAAAUGGAAAUGCGUGCGAGUGAGGAAAUAAGGCAAGGUGAAGACAUAACGCCACCAUUAUUUCCUCUCACUUUCGCAUUUCACGACUCUUUACUCGACGGUCACUGUUCGUCUUGCUUCUCUCCACUUCCUUGUUGCUGCUCCUCCCUCCCCCUCUCCUCCGCCGAACUCCGCGCCGCUCUCCACCUCCUCCACUCCCCUCUUCCCACUACCUCUCUUCCUCCUCCUCCUCGUCUCUUCGGCUUACUCACCAACCGCGACAAGCUAAUGUCUUCCUCCGACUCCGAUGUUGCGUCCAAAAUUCGAGAAGGAGCGGGGGAGAUGGGGAGAGCGAGAGGGAAUUUGUCCGACGACGUCGCUUGGGAGGAGGCUGCGUUGUGUUUGGUGAUGACCAAUGCCGUUGAGGUGCAGGAUGAUAAGACAGGGCGUAUUUUAGGUAUCGCCGUGUACGAUAAGGAUUUCUCUUGGAUCAAUCACAGCUGUUCUCCCAACGCUUGUUACCGCUUCUCGCUUUCUGAGCCAAAUGCUCCGUCGUUUCGCGAUGAAAAGAAAAUGCGGAUUGCUCCUCACGUUGUUUUCGACAGCACUGAGGCUGAAACUCCAGUAAAAUCCCAGCUAUGUUGAAAUUUUUUUGAAUUUUUUAACUGACUUGAGCAAGUCGAUAAUUGAUUUGAUGCAGGGAAAGAGUGAUGUUUGUAUCAGUUGUGAAUUAAAAGAAGGUUGCUAAUGCUAAUUGUUGUUCAUUUCUAUAUAAAUUUUGCACAUUGUUUGAUUUUUGCCGUUCUGAAUUUCAUUUAAUUUUAUUUUCAAGGAAGUAAGAGACAUGGUCCAAGGAUCAUUGUAAGGAGUAUUAAGCCAAUUAACAAAGGCGAGGAGGUAACUGUUGCUUACACUGAUUUGUUGCAACCUAAGGUACUACAUUCCAUUUAAAAUCAGCUGAUCAGGCAUUUGUUUUAUUUGAUAAUUUUGUAUAAUUCUACAUUGUUCAAACCAAUUUUAUUUUGUUUAGGGAAUGAGGCAGUCAGAGUUGUGGUCAAAGUAUCAAUUUGUCUGUCACUGUAAGCGAUGCUCUGCGUCACCUCCAAGUUACGUAGAUAUGGCCUUAGAGGUAAAAACUUUAUGUAAAUUGUCCGCGGGAAGAUCUCAGUUGCAAACGAGUGGUGUGACAAGUAUUGAACUCUCGAGGGCUUUUUUUGUUCUUUCUCCAGGAAACCUUUUCUUCAAAUCCUGAGUUUUCGAGCUUGAGUUCUGAUUACAACUUCCUCAAGGACGAGGCAAAUCAAAAGUUGACUGAUUGGAUGGAUGAAGUUACAUCUGAAUAUCUAUUAGUUGAUGAUCCUGAAUCUUGCUGCCAGAAGCUGGAGAACAUCCUUACCCAAGGUCUGCAGGGUGAGUUGUUAGAAUCCGAAAAAGUAAAAAUACAGCUGAAUUUGAGGUUGCAUCCCCUGCACCAUCUCUCACUGAAUGCCUAUACAACACUGGCAUCUGCAUAUAAAACCCGUUCAAUUGACUUAUUAGCUCUCAAUUCUGACAUUGAUGGACAGCAAUUGGAAGCUUUUGAUAUGAGCAGGGCAAGUGCCGCAUACUCAUUACUGCUUGCUAGUGCGACUGACCAUUUGUUCCGAUCUGAGUCAUCUCUGAUUGCAGCGUCUGCAAAUUUCUGGGCAAGUGCAGGGGAGUCCUUGUUAACUCUUGCUAGAAGCCCAGGGUGGAAUUUAUUUGUGAAACCGGAAUUGCCUAUUUCAACCUCGUCCCCUGAGAUUCAUGAGUGCUCCAAGUGCUCACUAGUGGACAGAUUGCAAGUGAAUCCAUUUCUUAGUCAAUCUCGAAAUGCCGAUUUCCAGAUCAUAUGUAAUGAGUUUCUUGCUUGCAUCACUAAUAUGACACGAAAAGUUUGGGGUUUUCUUACACAUGGAUGUGGGUACCUGCAAAUGUUGAAAGAUCCCAUUGAUUUCAGCUGGCUUCGGCAGUCUUCCAAUUUGUGCCACACUCCAUGCUGCAGUGAUGAGGAAUCCAAUAAGGAAACCGGGUAUCAAGAAAGUAUUUGCAGAAGGGUAAUGCAGCGGUGUGAUGGUGAAGAAAGGAUUACUAUCUUUCAGCUUGGUGUUCAUUGUAUAGCUUAUGGAGGAUAUUUAGCAAAUAUAUGCUAUGGUCCGAAUUCCCAUUGGCCUUGUAAAAUUAAAAAUGUUGUACAAAACGAAGAGAAAUUGGUUCAUUGUUGAAAGAAUUUUCAAUUUUCCUUGCCAGUUAAAUUUUAAAGAACUAUAUGUGAAAGCGCCACUAGAAAUGACUAAUAUGUUUGAUCUGCCAUGCUUUGUGAGAUCCUUAAUAUGAAAUUCUCCUCUAAAUCGCAUAUGAAGGAAGAUGAAUAGAUGAAUAGAUGAAUAGAUGAUCAAAAGCGCUAGUCAGACAUAAGCGGUCGUGAAAUGGGCAUGGGCCAUGACUAUUUUGUAUCGAAAACAGAAUAAUUCCAAUUCACACCUUUAAGUACACCAACGCGGUUCGGGGAGUCCAACUUCAAGAGUAAUGCACCGAUUUUUUUUCCAAAAAAAGAAAGAAAGAAAUUGUUACAAUCCACCUGUACAUUAAUCUACUGGAAGCCUAUAUACAUACAUUUUAUAUAACAGAAUUUCAGAUUUGGAAAUCCACCCUUAUAUACCACUGGGGUUCAAAUCCAAUGUAAUGCAGUGAUGUUAGAUCUGAAUUUUAUUUGCACAAUUUUCAAAACUAAUUGUUAGAGUUUUGGAUCAUCUAAAUUGUUAGACAGAAAUUAAGUCUAUGCUGUCUCACUACUUCUUUAUUGAAUACGAUACAAGUGUGCGUACAUAAAUGUAUUUCGAUGUUUAAUUAUGAUUUUUUUUUAUCACUACUUUAAUCACAAUUCAAUUUUUUUUUUUUUCUGUAAAUUUUUUAUACUAUUUCAAGAGGUUUUAUUGCCAGUGUAAGCUAACCAAUAAACAACAAUAUUACUCGUCAAAAAAAGAACAAAUAACAAUAUCGAAUGGAAAGUUUUCUAUCACAAGCACACAUAUGUGAGGCGAAUGUAAUGUUCUUCCAGAAAAGCUUUUGGUGACCUCUCAGUAGGCUAAAUAAAGCAUUAAUAUUUCAUGCGAUGCCUAUAUGGUCUGUUUCAAUUGAUAUAAGAAGUAUCAAUGAUUUAGAGGAGCCGUUGCUUAAUGAAUUAAGCUCCUUCAUACACGUUGUAAUUGGGGAUUGUAGCUUCUCCUUACGUGUAUGGUGGAGCUGGAAGCAUGUGGCCUCAAUGGAACCCAAAUCUCCUUCAUUAGUGUCAAAACAAUUUAGGUGUUGAAUCAAUUAGCACUCGCUAGUAUCCGAAGUUUCUAAUUGCACAAAAAUUAACUAAAAUGGAAUACUAGUGCUGAGCUUAUCCAAUAAUUUAGCUUAAGAGAUUAAUUUAAUUGAACUUACGUGUCAUUACUUUUUUUGGUCUGUGAUCACUCGAUUUUAAUACUAAUUUUGAACCCCUUCCAAUCAAACAUGAACAGUUGGCCUUACCUCGAUCCUAUACAUGACAUAAAAUCAAGCAAAUCAAGAGGGGUCUUAAUUAAACGUUAGAACAUUAGGUUACGCAAUUGUUAACAUCACAUUACCGAAUCAAUCAGACCCCCACCCAUCAAAGUUCAUCAACCACACAAACCGAUUUUAGUACUUUUCCAUCGAUCAUUAUCCUACCUAUAAACGUGGCUGCACGAUCUUGUUUCCAUGGGACCCAUAAAUAAGGCAAGUCCAUACUCAUAUUUUAAUAUACAGAUGCAUUGAUUUAUUAAUAGUUUCAUCUAAUUAGAGAUAAUAUAAUCAUGAUGAUGCAGUUAAAUUUUAUAUAACCAUCAAUUAUAUGUUAGUUCUUUAAAAUAAAUUUAUAAAUUUAAUAAUAUUAUUUUAUUUAUUAUAUGAUUGAUAUAAUACUUUAAAGGUAUUCUAAAAUUUCUCCACCUCUACAUAUAUAUAUAUAUAUAUGUACACAUGUCAAAUGACUUAUGCCUCUAAGCUUUAUUUCCAACACCAAUGUCUCUAAGCUCCCAACGUUUUGGACUUCAACAUUGUUUUUUUUUUUUUUUAAUUUGGAUUUGGUCAAUCACUAUGUUACAACAGUUGCAAUACUUUGGAUUACCAACAAAAAAAUUUGUCUUACUUUAAAAGUUGUUUAUUACAGUAUUUCAAUUUUUUCAUUAUACAAAAAUAUUUGAGAACCAUAAGUCAUUCUAUGAUACCGUGUUAAAAUCAUGACAUCAAUGCUAUAAUCAAACAUAAGUUCUAUAAUUAAAAUAUAAGAUUUGUGAAUUUAAUAUAAAAUUUGUAAAUUAAUAUUAACUAUAAAAUAAAAUAUAAAUUUUGAAAAUGGAAAAAAACCUUGUAAAUGAAAGGUAAAACAAGUAAGUUAAUAUAAAACUAGUAAAUUGAUAUAUUAUUUGUAAACAAAUUAAAAACUUAGAAAUAUAACAUAGAACUAGUAAAUUAACAUUAAGUACAAAAUAAAAUAUAAAAUUCAGAAAUUGAAGAUAACACCUCUAAAUGGAAUGUAGAGUAAGUAAAUUAAUAGAAAACUAGUAAGUUGAUGUACUUAUGGUAAACAAAACAAAAACUUAUAAAUAUAACAUACAAUUAGGCCAAGUCUCACUGAUGAGCGCUGACGUAAUGCCCCAACUACAUCUUAAGGAGGUUAUUGAUAUAUUAUUGGUCAACAACACAAAAAACUUACAAGUAUAACACAAAACUAAUAAAUCAAAUUAAGUGUAAAAUAAAACAUAAAUUUUGAAAAUAAAACACAAGACUUAUAAAUGAAAUGUAAAACAAGCCAAUCAAUAUAAGAGUGAUAAAUUAAUGUUUUACUAGUAGACAAAAUGAAAACUUGCAAAUGUAACAUAAAACUUAUAAAUUAAUAUUAAGUGCAAAAUAAAAUAUAAAUUUUAUAUAUUACACCUAAAAUGUAUGAAUAGAAGGUAAAAUUAGUAACUUAAUUUAAGAGUUACUUAAAAAAAAUGUAAAAAAAUUACAAACGUAAAAUAAAAACCCAUUGAUUAUCUUAUAUAUUUGAUUUUGUAUUUAAAUUGAAUAAUGAUUAUUUUUUGUUCUUGUGAUACAUUUGAUGUUUUAUUAAGGAUAAAACUUAUUCUCAAAGUUAAAUAAGACUUAUUGAGGAUAAAACUUUAAUGUUUUCAAAGUUGUUUUAAAAUGAGCUCAUUUUACAUUUUUCUACACCUCAGCAGCAGCAUAAAUGGUUCUUGAAUAUAAGUAAGGAGUAAAGUUUAAAACUAUGCAUAAAACUCAAAAUUAAAUAUAAUUUUAUUGAUAUAUCAUAUGUGUCUAGUAAUAAGAAUAUCUUUUUAUUUUGUUUCUGUUUGAUCUACGUUAAGAUAAAUAAUUUCACUUAAUUAACUUGUGUCGUAAAUAGAUAUUAUUAUAGAAAAUUAAAAAAAAAGUUCAUAAACAUUCCAGAAUGAGCAUAGAGUUUAUAGUUAAAACAAUUCAACAAAACCUAUUCCACUUGUUUUCAGUAUAGUUUUUUUUUUCAAUUGAUGAGUGAUUUUUUCCUUUAUUUAAUUAAAGUAAAUGGUUAUAUUAUUUUUCACUAAAAUAAUAUAAAAACAACGUUAAUUAUUUAAAUAAUAAUAUUUUUAUAUUAAUUUACUUAUUCAUAGUCUUAUAUAUAAUUUAUAAAAUUUAUAUUUAGCACAAUACUAAUAUCAUAAUUGUAAUCACAAUAUUAUAGAAUUUCCUAUUUAUAAUAAAAAUACAAGCUGAUAACAGUUACAUUUAUUUAUGACUAUAGUUUAAAGUUGAGAGUUCUAUAUAAUUUUUAAUAUUAUUCAACCGAUAACACUAAAAAGAGAAAAUUAUUUAACUUUAGAUGAUGACCAUUACAUUUAUUUUUCUUUUCAAAAAAAUGGAUAUUAAAUGGUGCAAACAACUGUUGGUAUUAAAUAUCUAGUCUUGCCGACACAUCAACUGCCAUUGGAUUGGGACCCAUUUAACUACCGGCCACAAAACAGUUUGGACAAAACUUAAUCCUGAAAACUUGUGGACCCCUCCUUUUAAAAAAUUAAAGAAAAAUUACGUGUCAAAAACAAGAAGAAAAAAUUACACUGAUGAAUUAUUGUUAUGUCAAAUUAUUUAGGGGUGGACAAAAAAAUCAUAGUCUUAAAUAAAUCGAAUCGAAUCGAUGAUUUUUUCUAAUUUAGUUCAGUUUUUAUUUUUUUUAAAAAUCAAAAUAUAUCAUUUGUAAAAAAAAUUGAAAUGUCGGUUCGGUAUUCGGUUCACUUAGCUGAACCGAAAAAUCGAAUUAUUUUUUGAUUUAUUCAAAUCAAACAUGUGUUAAUAAUUAUAUUCAAAUCAAACAUGAUUUUAUUCAAAUCAAAACAUGUGUUAUUUCUCUUUAUAACAUUAUGAUUAUGUUUAUAUAGAUGGAGUAUUGGAGUUUGGUUAUGUAUUUUGAAAUUUUAAUAUUUCAUAUUUUGGGAGUAUCUUAUUAAUAGUUAGUAAGAUAUUAGUGAUAAAAUGUGUUUUGAAUACUUUGUAUUUAUUGUUAAUAUUUGUAAUAAAAUUAGGAUAAAUUAAUUGUUGAAAAAAAUUAUUACAUUCAUAAGGUCUAAUAGACUAAAAAUUUAAAAAUUUAAAAAUUCAAAAUAGGCACAAUAGGUCAAGAAUCGAAAAAAUCGAACCGAACUGGAUCGAUCCAAAAAGAACCAUUUGAGCUCAGUUCUUAUUGAGUUUGAUUCUUAUUCGGUUCUUUUUAUAAAAUAAUCGAUUUAAAUCGAUUCUAUUUAAUUUCAAACCGAACCGAACCGUGCCCACCCCUAAAAUUAUCACACAUAAAAUAAAGAAUUUAAGCAAAAGUCUUAAACCAUUAUAAAUGUGAACAUAUGGCAGAUUUAUGAUAUGAUGGGUCCACCUAUUAAAUAUCUUUUUUUAGUGUGGAUACUCGUGUUUCAUAAAAGUAUAAAUUUAAUAUUUUAUAAUAGUAUAAAAUAUUUUAUAAAGGGCAAACGUCAACACUUUAAAAAAAAUUCUUAGGAUUAAAGUUUAUCAUUAUAAAAAUAAAGUUGGUUGGUGUGAGUGUUUCGAUAAUCUCAUUUUUUAAGAGAGAUUAGGGAUUUAAGCUCCGCUCUUAUAUAGAGUCACUAUUUUAGUCAGUAUUUUAUCUUUUAUGGGCCGACCUGGUACGAGUAGGGAUUAAUCUAAAUUAUAGUAUCGAUUUAAAAGUAUCUCCUACAAUUGAGGUCCACUCAGAACUGACAAAAAAAAAAUUAUCAUUACAAAGAGUGAAAAAGAGAAAUCCAGUUUUGAGGGUUACCAAAGCACUUAAAAAAAUAUAUAAAGCACAAAAUAUUUAAAAAUUGGAGAGAGUUCGCAUCGAGAAAGGGUCUUAAUUCAUUAAUGCAUAUGACAUACAAUGCAAAGUUUCGCGGUCUAUUAAAGCUAGAAUUAAUUUUAUCCAUUAAACUGCUCUUUUCCUAUUUUAUGGAUAAUUCUUUUGAACCACUGUUGAAGUAUUUGCAAUUUUUUACUAAAUUGUCUCAGCAUGAAGUCUCGUUGGCGAAACCAUCCAUGUCCAAAUAUGACGAAAAUAAAUGAACCAACAAUAGACCAGUCACAUUAUUAUUAUUAUUAUUAUUUGAGCACAUAAAUUGAUUUUCUUAUAGUAAAGAAAAAAAAAGUUUUUUCUCCGUGAAUUUGACUUUUUCUUGUGGUAUCGAACCAACCAUAGACUUAUUACCUCUAAAAUUUUCUGAAGGUUAAGAUUUUUUUUUUUAAACAAUUAAAACCAUCCCCAGAAAGAGACUCGAUGACACGUGUCAAAAAAUUGAAGUUUCUAACGGAGUUAAGAAAUAAGAAUAUGUUAAAAUAAGCAAAUUAAUGCAUACAUGUCAAAAAAUCUUCCAAAUAUUAAUUAAGUAAAUUCAGAUUAGUACAAUUUUAUUGAUUAUUUGAUUGUCACCCAGAAAAUCUAAGAAGAAAUUUUUAGCAACCCUUACUAUUUGGGUCACGAAAAGCUUAUAAAUAGACCCAGAUCUCCCAUACUACGAUCAUCAGCAACACCAAAAACACUUUCUUGAAGUAGCGUCUAUAAAUUUCUCUUCUGCUAUCACUUUUUACUCUAUUAAUUAAUAAUGUCUGAGGAAAAGCACCACCACCACGGCCUCUUCCACCACCACAAGGAGCAUGAGAAGCCUGAGGGUGCCACCGGCUACUCCGACACCGCCACCGGCUACUCUGAUACAGCCACCGGCUACUCUGAUACCCCCACCGGUUACUCCGACUCGACCACCGGAUACUCUGAUCAGUCAGCCACUGAUUACUCUGAGACUACAGGUUAUCCGGGAGACCGGCGUCGGCCAUCGGAGACGGAGAGCGGUGACUAUGGCAGGAAAGAGGAAGAGUUUGAUUACAAGAAGGAGGAGAAGCACCACAAACAUCUCGAGCACCUCGGAGAGCUUGGAACUGCUGGAGCUGGUGCUUUUGCUCUGGUAAAGUGAUUCUUCAUCAAGUGCUUUUUUUAUUUUGUGAUAGUGUAUAGUUUCAUUUCUCAUGCAUACAUACAAAAAAAAAGAUUUUUUUUUUUUUGACAGCAUAUAUAUGUAUAUAUACAAAGUACCACGCAUGUAACUAGGCUUUUUGCAUGGAUUGGAGGAAAAAAAAGAAAGAAUCCCAUUAUUUUCUUUAAUUUUAUCUCUAUGUUGACACUCAAUUAUUUAUUUAUUUAUUUUUUUUUGGGUGGUGGGGGGGUGUGAACCGAUAUUGUAAAUGGAUCAGCUUGAGAAGCACAAGGCAGAAAAGGACCCAGAGCAUGCACACAGGCACAAGAUAGAGGAGGAGAUAGCCGCGGCCGCAGCCGUUGGAUCGGGAGGAUUUGCGUUCCACGAGCACCAUGAGAAGAAAGAAGCCAAGGAAGAAGACGAGGAAGCUCAUGGAAAGAAGCACCACCAUCUCUUUUAAUUAAUUAUGUAUUGCGUGCGCUACCUUUUUUAGUUUAUUAUAAUUAUGUGUUAAUAUUUUCUGUAUUUUAUUUGUUUUUGUUCGUUAAUUAUCAUUGAGCACAGAGGUAGCUAUCUGCAGCCCUAAAUAAUACUCUUGUGUGUUCGCGUGUAUGGGUGAGUCUGGUGACUUUUGUAAAUAGACCGGAGUUAUCUGGUUAUGUUGUCAUCUUACUUUCAUAUUUAUGUUGAUAAUAAAACUUAGUUUUAAUUGUGUGUUUAUUAUUUAUAAGAUUUGACCUCAUGAUCUGAUGUUUUCUCCAAUCUCAGCUGUUGCUUUAGAAGUGGGGAUCAUCUAUUACUAUUGUUUUUAAAUGAACUGAGCUGACAGCCAUUGCGCUAAAGACUAAUUCAACAUCAUAAAUAAACAACUCUCUUUGCGGUGAUGUAAUUUUAUUUGCCAAUGGGAUAAAGUAAAUUUAUGUGAAAUAACAUUUAUUCUAUAUUUAUUAAAUUUUUUAAAGGAAUAUAUAAAGUUUAAAUUAACCUACAACUUUUCUUAAGAUUCAAAUCCUUGGGGGCUUUAUCAAAUAAGAUUUGAUAUUAUAUCUGAAAAUGUAAUCGUGAAACCAAUGAUUAUAAGUUGAACUUAAUGUACAACUAAUCUUGAUAUUACCAAGUUGAUUUAUGGACUUUUGCUCGAGAAUGUUGUAUGGCUCGUGACAAGUUGGACUGAAAAGCCUAUCGAGUAAUGGAAUGUUAGGUGUAUUUUCUCAAGAAGCAACACUAAAUAAUCACCCGCUGAGAGUCACAAGUUUCUUGGCACAAUGUUACUUUCAUGGAUUUAAGUCUCUAAUUAUUGUGUUUUGACUCUAAAGCCAAAUCCCUGUACCAUUGUCAUGAAGGAGGGCCAAAAUAAUCAUUUCCGAUUCGGCUCAACUUUGAUACAAUAGUUGGAGCGAUUAAUGUUACACUUUAACAUCUAACUAGGGACGUAGCUUUCUCCUUUAUUGUAAUAAACAUGAAAGUGAAAAAAAAAUGUAAUUGAAAAGAUUAAGAGGACAUGAAAGAACACGAAACAGGGCUCCAUCUACCAUGCCCCCUUGCGCACCGUACCCCCUUUACUUGUUUUGUAAUGAAGGCACCGUUGGAUGAAAAGGAGGAAGAUCGUGGAAGUGGGAAAUCGCCAGGUGGCAGUUGACAAAAACCGGGAGUAUAAGUCAAUUGACAGGAACUGUUUAUGGUGCAAUAAUUUUAUUAAAAGGAACAACAAAUAUGUUGGUACAGACAACAAUAAAGUAGUUAGCUGAAGCAAUUAUAUGUAGAAGCAAGUAGUUUGUUAGAGACAAUUUUAUGUACGUUAUAAACAAAUAUUUUGUUGGAAGAGGCAUAUAAGUGUGGUUACUGUAGCACGGAAAAUGAAAUGAGAUCAAUUGAUGUUAACUAAAUAAAAAAUGAAGCAUGAACGAAAGGAUAGGAAGUAGAUGUAGUUGAUUAGAUGUGUUGAGAAUACGCUCGGAGCCGCAAAAUCCGGCAGGGCCACAGUAAAUAGAGCAAAAAAUAAUCUAGUAUGUGGAGGGAUGAGUUGGCGAAUUAGUAGGAAGCAUCAAAAAAAUUGAGAGCCGCCGUCGGCUGACCAUUUGUGGCAUUAGUUCCACAAAUUGGCAAAUGGGGGAAGGAAGCUUGUGUAAGUGGCAUUAUUUGUAGUGUAUGGAAAUAAUGGGAAAACGAGGAAAAACAAUUACAGCACAACAAGUAAUACUGAAAUAAACAGAAAGGAGAGAAAAAAUGGAAUGAAAAUAAAGUAUAAUUGCAUAGAUAGUGAUUUAUUUUUUUUUUUAAAAGAAGGAACAAAUUGUAGAGUGGAGAGGAGGUAUAUAUAAUCAGAACAAUAGUGGAUUAGAUUUGUGUGAAAUUUGCAUGAGUCUGAAGAAGUAUAAAUUGGAUUUGAAUAGAAUUUGAACUUAUCUGUGGCUAGGAUUUGAAUAUCAAGUAAAAUACGAAAAAAAACAUGUAGCAAAUAAAGAUUGGCAUGGAAGCAGGAUAAUCAGUUCGAAAAGCAGGAGCUAUGGAAUUGACGAUAGCUUGAAAACCCAUGCAUGUCAGUGUUGUUACAUGGCAGCUAUCACCAUAGGUCCACAUCGGUGACUUGAAAUAACAAAUAUCUCGGAAAGUGGGUGAUUGCUUAAGACGUGAACGACCAAAUGCCCAUCAUCUUUAUUUAUUACCAUGAAACUGCACUUUAUAGCGCCAUAUAAAUACAUUCGUAAUGCACAAAACAAAUACAUGUCCAUUACAUUGGCAGCCCCAAAAUUAAUAAAAUAAUAAUAAUAAUGCUCAUUUCUAAUGAAAUCAAUAAAUCAGAUCUACAAUGGACUGUAACCCAUAGGCAUGAUGCAUCCGAUUCACUUCUUUCCAUUACUUGUUGCAAUUUCACUUUCUGAUUUUCUACACAGAUUCAUUGAAAAAACUUAACAACUCUGAAGUUACUAUGGAACUUUCGAUCAUACAUUUGAUUAUCAUUACAUGUACUUACAAAGAUACAAAACAGAUAAAUUAAUUAAUCCCUUGAUCAUUAUACUACAAGUGCAAAAAAUUGUGAUAUAAAUUUAGGAAAAUCAGUUGGGUGGAAAUUGAUAAUUAAGACGCGAUGUGCUUCUAAGAAGUUGAAGCUGAAUGUAUACUCAGCAUAAAGAUAAAUAAACGGGGACGCCAAACACCACUAAUACAAUAAAAUUACAGAGAAAAACAACUAUUUUUUCUCAUCAAUCCUGCUGCAUUAAAUGGGCCCAGUUGAACUGCUGGUAAUAAUCCCUAAAUCAAUUUGAAAUCGAUGCCCUCUACUCCAUAAUUUUACCCUAAAUCUCACUUCCCAGUAGGUUUACCAACAAAAAUUCACUAUUCAACUCAUGCAUUUCAAUUUCAGCUUCCACUAACCUGAUAUUUUUUAUUGCCGUGAUCUCUUCUCCCUCUGUUUCGUUUGAUGCUACCAGAAGAAAAUUAAACUCAACAUGAUCCGCUUCAUAAAUCCGAGCUAACACACCGUCGCUGCGCACUUGACUAUUCUCCACAACUCGGGUCUCUCUCCCUCACACCGGUCAAAAUCAAUUCCACUCACGAUUUACAGCACCCUAAGACCAAUGUCAAAGGUGCAACAGGUUAGAAUGGUAGCCCAACUUUAACUCACUAUUCAUUCUCAAAGCUCCAGCCAUUAGAUUUCACUCAUUAUAAUCUAACGGUUCCAGAAAACCGACAAAUACAGGGAGCACGGUGCCCAAGGGGGCACAAUUAGGGAUGGCAAUGGGGCGGGGUAGGGGUGGGGAUGCCUACCCCAUUCCCCACCCCAUUAAAAAUUUUUGCCUCCAUUCCCCACCCCAUUCCCCAAUAAAUUUAGUGGGUUGGGGAUGGGGAAUCCCCACGUGGGGAAUGAUUCCCCCAUCCCCACCCCAUUCCCCAUUUACAUAUUUUAUAGUAGAUAUAAAAAUAUGAUUUCAGUAAAUUAAAAAUUAGAGACUUAAGAUAAAAUCAUCACAAUAUUAUAAAGUAUUUAAUUUUAAAAAAAAUCUCUAAAAAUUUGAAACAAUAUCUUAAAAUGAUAUUAAAAGUGAAAAAUAUUUAAAGAAAGCAGCACCUUAAAAGAGAAAAGAAAAUAUAUUAAUGUUUUAAAAUUGAAAAAUAUUGUAGAAUUUUCUUUUAUUCAUAUUCUAUUUAUAUUACAUAAAAAUUACAAAUAAAAUUAUUAAUUGACAUUAUAGUUGAUAAAAUACAAAUUAUUAAAUAAGAAUUAAAAACAUAUUUAUAUAUAAUGGGGAUUGGGGUGGGGGUGGGGUGGGGAGUGCAAUACCAAACCCCACCCCGUUAACAAUUUGGGGAUUACUUUUCCCCCACUCCCCACCCCAUUCCCCAAAAAUUAUUAAAAAAUUUCCCCAUUUGGGGUGGGGCUCCAUGGGGCCCCAAACCCGUGGAGAAUUUUGCCAUCCCUAGGCACAAUAGCUGGACCCACGAAACAGGCGGAUAAUUAGGGAAGUGUUGGUCAUGAUUGUCAUCUUUAAUUUGCAGACAAAGAGCAUUAAUUUUUUUUUUUUGGGUUUUAUACUUUUAUCUCACCACUUGAGAGUGGUACAUUUAACAAAAACCCAAAUUCACUAGCAUCUAUGUAAUGUUAUUAUUAUUCUCGCUAAAAAUAUGCUUAAACAAAAAGGAAAUAUCGACAAUUCUAAAUAGAUAAAAAAUUAUUUACACAGGCGUUAAAAAAACCUUUAUGGAUUAAUUUUUUAAUAAUAAAUAAUAAUCUUCAUUAUUAUUUAGUCUAAUGACAGCUGAUGGAUUCUUUUUUCUAUUUAUAUAAUCAGCUUAAUUAGUUCGAGCCUAAAAUUUUUUAUUUCAAGAAAUUUUAUCACCUCAGAUGAAACCUACAUUGAACAAUUGUUUAUAUUACAACAGUAAAUUAUAACCACCGAAACAUCAACUGCCAUUGGAUUGGGACCCAUUUAACCACCGGCCACAAAACAGUUUGGACGAAACUGAAUCCUGAAAAACUUAUGCACCUCCCUUUUCACUUGUUUUUUUAAAAAAAAUUAAAGAAAAAUUACGUGUCAAAAAGAAAAAAAAAUUACACUGACGAAUCCCUUACUGUCAUGCCAAAUUAUCACACUUAAAAUAAAGAAUUUAAGCAAAAGUCUUAAACCAUUAUAAAUGUGAACGUAUGGCUGAUUUAUGAUAUGAUGGGUCCAUCUAUUAAAUAUGUUGUUUUCUUUAGUGUGGAUGUUUUUAUUUUAUUUUAUAAAAGUAUGAAUUUAAUAUUUUAUAAUAUUAUAAAAUAUUUUAUAAAGUGCAAAGUUCAACACUUGAGAAAAAUUUCUUAAGGUUAAAGUUUAUCAUUACAAAGAGUGAAAAAAAAAAAAGAAGAGGAGGAAAAUAUCCAAUUGUAACUACAACCGUCGUGUUUUUACAUUGUAUUUCUUACAAUUUUCCAUUAAAUAUUUCUCAAAUUCUUUAGAGAAUUAAAAUAAAUUUGUUAUAAAAUUAAAUUCUCUCAUGAUCUAAAUUUGUCUGGAGUAAAAUUUAGUUGGAGAUUAGUGGUUAAUUAAAAAAAUAGUUAAAUCAAAAUCAUACAUAGCAUUAAAAAAAAUAUAAAAUACAAGAUAUUUAAAAAUUCGAGAGAGUUCAUGUUAAGAAAGGGUUUUAAUUCAAUAAUGCAUAUGAUAUGCAAUGCAAAGUUUGGUGGGUCUAUUAAAACUAUAAUUAAUUUUAUCCAUUAAACUGCUAUUUCCUCUUUUAUGGAUAAUUCUUUUGAGCCACUGUUGAAGUAUUUGCAAUUUGUAACUAAAUUGUCUGAGCAUGAAGUCUCGUUGGUAAAACCAAUCAUGUCGACAUGUAACGAAAAUAAAUCAAAAUCCGGAAACAAUAUUUAUGUAACAAUGAACCAACAAUAGACCAAUCACAUUAUUAUUAUUAUUAUUAUUAUUAUUUGAGUACAUAAAUUGAUUUUCUUAGAGUAAAAAAGAAAAGAUUUUUUUCUCCGUGAAUUUGACUUUUUCUUGUGGUACCGAACCAACCAUAGAGUUAUUACCUCUAAAAUUUUCUGAAGGUUAAGAAUUUUUUUUUAAACAAUUAAAAUCAUCCCCAGAAAGAGACUCGAGUACACGUGUCAAAAAAUUGAAGUUUCUAACGGAGUUAAGAAAUAAGAAUAUGUUAAAAUAAGCAAAUUAAUGCAUACAUGUCAAAAAAUCUUCCAAAUAUUAAUUAAGUAAAUUCAGAUUAGUACAAUUUUAUUGAUUAUUUGAUUGUCACCCAGAAAAUCUAAAAAGAAAUUGUUAGCGACCCUUAACAUUUGAGUCACGAAAAGCUUAUAAAUAGACCCACAUCUCCCAUGCUACGAUCAUCAGCAACACCAAAAACACUUUCUUGAAGUAGUGUCUAUAAAUUUCUCUUCGGCUAUCACUUUUUACUCUAUUAAUUAAUAAUGUCUGAGGAAAAGCACCACCACCACGGCCUCUUCCACCACCACAAGGAGCAUGAGAAGCCUGAGGGUGCCACCGGUUACUCCGACUCGACCACCGGAUACUCUGAUCAGUCAGCCACUGCUUACUCUGAGACUACAGGUUAUCCGGGAGACCGGCGUCGGCCAUCGGAGACGGAGAGCGGUGACUAUGGCAGGAAAGAGGAGGAGGUUGAUUACAAGAAGGAGGAGAAGCACCACAAGCAUCUCGAGCACCUCGGAGAGCUUGGAACUGCUGGAGCUGGUGCUUUUGCUCUGGUAAAGUGAUUCUUCAUCAAGUGCUUUUUUUAUUUUGUGAUAGUGUAUAGUUUCAUUUCUCAUGCAUACAUACAAAAAAAAAGAUUUUUUUUUUUUGACAGCAUAUAUAUGUAUAUAUACAAAGUACCAAGCAUGUAACUAGGCUUUUUGCAUGGAUUGGAGGAAAAAAAAGAAAGAAUCCCAUUAUUUUCUUUAAUUUUAUCUCUAUGUUGACACUCAAUUAUUUAUUUAUUUAUUUAUUUUUGGGGUGUGGGGGGGGGGGGGGGGGGGUGUGAUACGAUACUGUAAAUGGAUCAGCUUGAGAAGCACAAGGCAGAAAAGGACCCAGAGCAUGCACACAGGCACAAGAUAGAGGAGGAGAUAGCGGCGGCCGCAGCCGUUGGAUUGGGAGGAUUUGCGUUCCACGAGCACCAU